rnacentral:lncRNA from 1 species
CAGAUCACCAUCUUUGACAAGCUAUACCUACUAAAAGAUGUGAAGCAGACACCUACAUUCCAUGACUCAACUGUAAAGAGAACACAAAGCUCCAGUCAUAGGAGAAAAAAUAAAAUAAAACUACUAUUAAAAUUGAAGGCCAAAUUUCAUGUAUCAUACAUUCAUGGUGGGUACGUAUGUUUAGUCUUCUAACAGAAGGAGACUUGCCUGCAUACUAUGCUUCUCCUAGUUUUCUCAAUUGGAGAAGAAAGGAAAAAAUAAGGCGCAGGAAGAAGGGGUUGCAACAAAGCUGUAAGGUUUUGAUAUAAGUGAAAAGACAUUCAUAAAGCAUCUGGGAAAGCACAUGCUCACACAUUUUAAAAAAUGCUCAUUUAUUCUCAAGUACUUGUGCAGGGCUGAUUUCAGAGUUUAGGAAUGCACCAGUCAUGAAAUAAUGAUCCCAUCGUAGGGCUUAAAACGCUAAACCUCAGAAAAGAUUACCAUCUUUCAAAAGAAUUGUGGGAAAAUAAUGAAAACCAGGUAGCAGAAAAGUUGUGAUCAGAGAAAACAACACAAGAAAACACUGGAGCACGUGGUAUACAGUUGAAGGGAGAACCGUUCAUCCUUCUAGAACCAUUACUAUUAUCAACAUCAGGAAAGUAGAGAUACUUUCCUGAAAGGUUAAUUUGGUUAAUAAGACAUGAAAGCCACUAUUACAUGAUGUGAGCCAAAUUACCUACAAGACAGAAAAAGAAAACAAACUAUAUGGAAAAAGCCUGAGGCGAGAGCUAAUUAGCUGGUCUGCAAAAAGAUCCAAGAAAAAUGCCCUAACUUUAGACAUGUUACAUAUUGCACACUCAAAAAAGAAAAAGAAACAUUUAGAAAACUAUUUUAAAUGUCUUUAAUUGCUGAAUGCCUCUUUGGCUAAUAUCUGGAAGAUCAUUAUUUAGUCCUACAACUGACAUAUUGUUCCACUUUCCCAUUAUUUUGUUUGCAAACCACUAAAAGUCUUAUUUCCUCAUCUCUUUGACACAUUACCAAAGUGGACCCUAUGCUGUAAUCACACAGGAUAAUGUUGGAAAAUAUGAAGAUCUAAAUUAUUUUUUAAAGGUAUUAUUUUUUUCCUUCUGUUUUCAAAUCAUUUUUGACAGUUUCUAAAGACAUGGUCACAGCUGCCUGAAGCAUGUCUUCUUCACUCAUAGCAUCACCUGUUGGGAAACAAAACCACAUUUCUUUAAAAUUUCCAGAAAAUUCUCAAAGUCAUCAAAAGCAAGCCUCCUCUGACACAGCACUGGCAGCAGGGAAAAGGGAGUGCCACCUCGCUACAACCAGAGGGGAGUGAAAGUCCAGGUUUCUUCAAGGCCUGUGAUGACAAGGAGUGGCGGUCAUGGGGAUUACUGCUGAACGCACAUGGGAGUUCUAGCCCCCUAGUCCUCCACUGACAUCUCUCUGACUGGGAGGGAGAGCAGUGCCUUGUUACUGAUCUCCACGUGGCCUCCACGGACAUUGUGGAGGUGUCCUUGUUACUGCUGGGUGUCAGCAACAGUCUGGAUUCUCUACUCGGCCUCUUCUCCAACAUCACCCAUAUAGGAGCCAGAGAGAUGCCUAUGUAUUAUUGGGUGGAAGUUCAGCCUCC